rnacentral:rRNA from 1 species
AUUGAACGCUGGCGGCAGGCCUAACACAUGCAAGUCGAGCGGAUGAAGGGAGCUUGCUCCUGGAUUCAGCGGCGGACGGGUAAGUAAUGCCUAGGAAUCUGCCUGGUAGUGGGGGAUAACGUCCGGAAACGGGCGCUAAUACCGCAUACGUCCUGAGGGAGAAAGUGGGGGAUCUUCGGACCUCACGCUAUCAGAUGAGCCUAGGUCGGAUUAGCUAGUUGGUGGGGUAAAGGCCUACCAAGGCGACGAUCCGUAACUGGUCUGAGGGGAUGAUCAGUCACACUGGAACUGAGACACGGUCCAGACUCCUACGGGAGGCAGCAGUGGGGAAUAUUGGACAAUGGGCGAAAGCCUGAUCCAGCCAUGCCGCGUGUGUGAAGAAGGUCUUCGGAUUGUAAAGCACUUUAAGUUGGGAGGAAGGGCAGUAAGUUAAUACCUUGCUGUUUUGACGUUACCAACAGAAUAAGCACCGGCUAACUUCGUG